GGGGGCGACCUGGCUUCGACGUGGGUUGCAAAGCAACGCAGGGCAUACCGAGGACCCGCCACCUCGUUAAAAGCUGGAAACCAAUAGUCGCAAACGACGAAACUUACGCACUGGCCGCUUAAGGCCUGCCCUCACACUCCGCUGUCCGUAGUGGAGCUCGAAACCGCAAGGUGGAGAUGAGUGAGGUCACUACACGGAAUCGUGUCGCGCAGGGCCACUUUGCGCGGCAUUAAAUCCAAGGUGGAUCGUCUGUCAGCAGCCCGUCGGUUGGCGUCUGCCGGAUUAAAUCAAACAGCCUGACUAAGUAUGUAGAACUGCCUGUAGAGGACUCGCGGACGGGGGUUCAAUUCCCCCCGCCUCCACCA
rnacentral:tmRNA from 1 species